rnacentral:pre_miRNA from 1 species
GGGGGGAGGCAGGAUCCUGGGCUGUGUCCCGGCGCCCUGUGCUCCGGAGCCUGCACUGCUGGAUUCGCGCUCCCGGGCCGCAGCCCCCU